rnacentral:lncRNA from 1 species
CUGCACCUCCAACAGGUAUAUCAGGGACGGAUGAGCCCCCCAGCAUUUCAGUUUGGCGCAUAAACAGAAAGAUCAUGCAGCACAUCGAUUACAGUGCCUUGCCUUACCUGAUCCGAGGCCAUACACAGUAUGGGAGAACUUUAGGUCGUGAUUGAGCUGCAAAGCUGCAUAUGACAGAUUUGCUGCACCACACCAUCGGCGAGUUAGUCUCCUGGCCACAACUCAUUAUCUUUGCUCGAGACGUGAACUGGCCGGUCAGUGACUCACCACGGUCAAUACUGCACAAAAGAGCCACGCUGAAAAAGAAAGGCAAGAGGUGGUGGUCCACUUUUCGGAGCACAGCCUUCCCAUAAGUGCCCUGUUGCACAGAGAACCUGUGCUGUUCUUGGACUCCAUUUGGCAGUGCCUCAGAGGGACGCAUGCAUGCUGCCUGAGAGGCAUCAUGAGCAUAGCUUUCUCUGCCAUGCAAGGCCUGCGCGUGUGCAACAUGCCAUUGGAUUGAAUAAAAUGGGCUGUGCGUGCUAAGUUGUCUGGGUAGGAUAUCAGGGAAUUGACUCCUCGUACCUGCUCUGGGUCAUCACCGGAUGGGGUGCUGCUCAAUGUAUACACAGGGCUCUCAGCCGAUCCAGGAGCUGCUGAUGAAAAUUUCGGUAGCAAAUUGGAAGUCUCAUCUGCAACAGCGUCCUUGGCUGCAUGCACGUGUCCCCUGAUGCCUAACAUGCCAUCUCCUCUUGUGACGUUGAUUUAUGAGCUGUACGAUGGCAAGCGCAAUUCAUUUGAGAAACAAUUUGCACUCACCUGCUGUGUGUGUCAUUUAAUGCUUCAGGAUAGCUUCAUGACCAGGAGGACUCGAGCGACCAGCAACGCCAACACCCCAUUCCAGAACCUCUAGGAACGGGGAUCGGGUAGCGGCGUUGUCAAGAUCGAAAUCUUGAUGCUUGCGUAGUCCUCGGAUCAAUACAAGAGGUGGGCUCGUGUGCGAAAUAGUCCUCAGAUCAGGUACGAUGUUACCAUUUUGUUUUGGUGCCCGGGGAAUCAGUACUACAGACAGACAGACAUUCAAUGUAACAGUGAGAUGACAACUUUGAGUCAUUAACGAUACAGGUAUGUUGUGCA